rnacentral:rRNA from 1 species
AGUGAACGCUGGCGGUAGGCCUAACACAUGCAAGUCGAACGGCAGCACAGUAAGAGCUUGCUCUUACGGGUGGCGAGUGGCGGACGGGUGAGGAAUACAUCGGAAUCUACUUUUUCGUGGGGGAUAACGUAGGGAAACUUACGCUAAUACCGCAUACGACCUACGGGUGGAAGCAGGGGAUCUUCGGACCUUGCGCGAUUGAAUGAGCCGAUGUCGGAUUAGCUAGUUGGCGGGGUAAAGGCCCACCAAGGCGACGAUCCGUAGCUGGUCUGAGAGGAUGAUCAGCCACACUGGAACUGAGACACGGUCCAGACUCCUACGGGAGGCGGCAGUGGGGAAUAUUGGACAAUGGGCGCAAGCCUGAUCCAGCCAUACCGCGUGGGUGAAGAAGGCCUUCGGGUUGUAAAGCCCUUUUGUUGGGAAAGAAAAGCAGCAGGUUAAUACCCCGCUGUUCUGACGGUACCCAAAGAAUAAGCACCGGCUAACUUCGUG